GCCCCUGCGCAACCCUGUUAUUCCCCAGUGGCGGUCCUCACGCCGUCCCAGCAAGAGAAGAAUUAUCAUCGCCAUUUUACCCGGACCCAGCCCGGCGGCAAGUUUCAAGCAGCCCUUUUGUUUGCUUGCGCGUCCCACGCGCCGCCCCCCCUUCCCAUUGUUAGAUCCGUCUCCUGAGGGGGCCACCAAUAAUUUUCACUCGGAACACCUGCUUCGGGUUUCUUCAUCUGCAAAGAAAUUAAUUUUCCAAGUCACACAGUUAUAGACAACUUUUUAAAGAGUUACUGAAGUGACAGUUUCAUUCUUACCUUAGAUUAGAUGGUGCCAGUUUUUUUAAAGAGAAAGAAAAUUUGUGUGAACAAAAUUAAAUCCAAAAAAAAUGUG